CUGCUUCAGCAGCAGAUAUACUAAAAUUGGAACGAUACAGAGAAAACUAGCAUGACCCCUUUGCAAGGAUGACACGCAAAUUUGUGAAGCGCUCCAUAUUAAA
rnacentral:snRNA from 1 species